rnacentral:rRNA from 1 species
UACGUAGGGGGCGAGCGUUGUCCGGAUUUAUUGGGCGUAAAGCGCGUGUAGGCGGCCAGAUAGGUCUGCUGUGAAAACUCGAGGCUCAACCUCGAGCUGUCGGCGGAAACCAUCUGGCUAGAGUCCGGAAGAGGAGAGUGGAAUUCCUGGUGUAGCGGUGAAAUGCGCAGAUAUCAGGAAGAACACCGAUGGCGAAGGCAGCUCUCUGGGACGGUACUGACGCUGAGACGCGAAAGCGUGGGGAGCGAACAGG